GUACACUUUGCUCAAUUGUUAGAGCAUGGGACCUAGAAUGCCAAGGGUUGUGGGUUCAAGUUCCAUAGUGUACA
rnacentral:tRNA from 1 species